rnacentral:tRNA from 1 species
GGGCCUGUGGCUCAGCCAGGUAGAUAACUGACUAAACCGAAAGCGGCUGGCUCUUAACCAGUAGUGUAGGUGAGUAAGUCGUGGGUUCAAAUCCCACCAGGCCCG